GGGAGGAGUGCGCCGGCGCGGGUAAGAUGGCGGACGAUAAGGACACACUGGGUAAGCUGAAGGACCUUGCACAGCUGAAGGGUCAACUGGAGAGCAUCCAGCGGAAGGUGGAGGAGGAGGUCCAGAUGGGACUGCCGAAUAUGUUAUUGAUUGUAAAUAUGAUUCCAUUACCAUCUCUCACCAUGCACCUUUGAAGCUAUCUAUUAAGACAAUGGAUUCAUCUUCUAAUGCUAAAUCUUGGAGGUUUAACUCUACUGCAGAACUCAGACUUUCUUAACUUCAUUAAACAACAAAUUGAUUUGUUUUUUUCAACAAAUUCUACAGAAGAGAUCUCGAGUGGAACAUUAUGGGACACUUUUAAAGCAUUUAAUCGUGGACAGAUUAUUUUAUACUCUGCUGGAGUUAGGAAACGAACUAAUACUGAAAUAUUGCCAUUGAUCGAUAAAAUUAAAGAAAUUGAUAAGAUUUAUUCAGUGACCCCCAGUAAAGAACUUUAUAAAGAGAGAGUUGAACUUCAAAUGGAGCAUAGUUAGUUAUUAUCCUCUUUGAAAAUCAGUUAAUUAAAUCUGGAACCCAGUUUUAUGUACAUGCAGAUAAAUCUGGCAAAUUAUUGACUAAUCAAUUGAAAACUGCUUCGGUUAAACGACAAAUCACUAAGAUUUGUAAACAAGAUGGCACUUUGAUUGAUCAUAAAGAGAUAAAUAAAGCCUUUCAAAAUUUUUAUAAUUCUUUAUAUCAAUCAGAAUUUGUUGAGGAUUCUUCCAUAAUGGAUGAACUUUUAAGAAAAUUGAAUAUCCCAAAACUAACAACAGAAGAUAGUGUACUUCUAGAUGCACCUAUUACGGAAACCGAAAUAAAAGAGGCUAUUUUUUCACUGAAUUCAGGUAAAGCCCCUGAUCCGGGCAGUUAUACUGCUGAAUUUUUUAAAUCCUUCUCUUCUACACUCUCUCCUUGGCUUUGUAAAAUUUUUAAAGAUGCGUUAACUGUAGGUAAAUUACCACAAUCUUUUAUGGUGCCUCCAUUGCUCUAAUUCUUAAAAAAGAUAAAGACCCCACUGAAUGUGCA